UCGUGUCGUGAGAUGUUGGGGUUAAGUCCCGCAACGAGCGCAACCCUCACCUCUUGUUGCCAUCAGGUCAUGCUGGGCACUCUAGAGGAACUGCCCCGGUCAACGGGGAGGAAGGCGGGGAUGACGUCAAGUCAUCAUGCCCCUUACGUCCUGGGCUACACACGUGCUACAAUGGCUGGUACAAAGGGAUGCCACACCGCGAGGUAGAGCUAAACUCAAAAAGCGGGUCUAAGUUCAGAUUGGAGUCUGCAACUCGACUCCAUGAAGGAGGAAUCGCUAGUAAUCGC
rnacentral:rRNA from 1 species